rnacentral:piRNA from 1 species
UAUAGUGAAAAACCACAUAUGCCAUGAU